GCUGGGUGUGGUGGUGCACGCCUGUAAUCCCAGUAGCUCCGGAGGCUGAGACUGGAGGAUCACCAGUUCAAAGCCAUCCAUCUCAGUAGAAAUAAGCGAGGUGCUAAAGCAGCUCGGUGAGACCUUAUCUCAA
rnacentral:SRP_RNA from 1 species